CAGGGAGACAACAAAAUGUUUAAUAUUAUUAUUUUGUCACCUUAGGUCGAUCGGUAUCUCACAUUUUUAAUUUAUUAAGAAUUUCAUUUCCUAAGUCUUUCUAGGUCACACCCAUCAUUUUUCCUGGGCCAUUAGCUCAGGUGGUUAGAGCGCACCCCUGAUAAGGGUGAGGUCCCUGGUUCAAGUCCAGGAUGGCCCAUAUCUCUAUGUUGGGGGUAUAGCUCAGUUGGUAGAGCGCCUGCUUUGCAAGCAGGAUGUCAGCGGUUCGAGUCCGCUUACCUCCACUGAUUACCACCUCUUCCAUAAUCUUUAGAAGGAAAUGUUUUGUGUUGUGAUCACAUUCUGAACGAAUCUAGCUUCCUAAUGAAAUCAUUAAGAUGCUGGACUCAUUGAAUUAAAUUCAUUGUUUUCAGAGAACCUUGACAACUGCAUAGAUUAUUUUUAAAGACAAUAAGCAUCUUUAAUGAUGCAGAUUUAUUAUUUGUGCGAAUGCAUUAAUAACAAUUCUAUUAAGCUGAUGCUUCAAUUUUGAAGUUAUU
rnacentral:tRNA from 1 species